AUUGAACGCUGGCGGCAUGCUUUACACAUGCAAGUCGAACGGUAACAGUACUUCGGUGGCUCUCGAGUGGCGAAGGGGUGAGUAUUACAUCGGAACGUGGCUAGUAGUGGGGGAUAUCUACUCGAAAGAGUAGCUAAUACCGCAUGAGCUCUAAGGAUGAAAGCAUGGGACCUCCGGGCCUUGCGAUACUAUACCGGAUGAUCGCAGCUUAGGUAGUUGGUUGGUUUAUGGCUUACCAAGCCUACGAUCUGUAGCUCGUCUGCGAGGACGACCAGCCACACUGGGACUGAGACACGGCCCAGACUCCUACGGGAGGCAGCAGUGGGGAAUUUUGGACAAUGGGCGAAGUCCUGAUCCAGCAAUGCCGCGUGCAUGAUGAAGGCCUUCGGGUUGUAAACUGCUUUUGUACGGAACGAAAAGCCCUCUUCUAAUACAGGGGGGUCAUGACGGUACCGUAAGAAUAAGCACCGGCUAACUACGUG
rnacentral:rRNA from 1 species